rnacentral:rRNA from 1 species
CCAAUAGCGUAUAUUAAAGUUGUUGCAGUUAAAAAGCUCGUAGUUGAAUUUCGGGGUUAGUACGCUGGUCGUGCCUUUGGUAUGUACUGGUGUUACUGAUUCCUACCUUCUGAAGAACCGUCAUGUCAUUAAUUUGGUGUGGCGGGGAAUCAGGACUGUUACUUUGAAAAAAUUAGAGUGUUUAAAGCAGGCUCGCGCUUGAAUACAUUAGCAUGGAAUAAUGAAAUAGGACGUUUGAUCCUAUUUUGUUGGUUUCUAGGAUUGACGUAAUGAUUAAUAGGGAUAGUUGGGGGCAUUAGUAUUCAAUUGUCAGAGGUGAAAUUCUUGGAUUUAUUGAAGACUAACUACUGCGAAGGCAUUUGCCAAGGAUGUUUUCAUUAAUCAAGAACGAAAGUUAGGGGAUCGAAGACGAUCAGAUACCGUCGUAGUCUUAACCAUAAACUAUGCCGACUAGGGAUCGGAUGAUGUUAAUUUUUUAAUGACUCAUUCGGCGCCUUACG